AGAGUUUGAUCCUGGCUCAGGAUGAACGCUGGCGGCGUGCUUAACACAUGCAAGUCGAACGGACCUUCGGGUCAGUGGCGGACGGGUGAGUAACACGUAGCUAACCUGCCCUCAAGUGCGGGAUAACGCCGCGAAAGCGGUGCUAAUCCCGCAUACGCUCGCUGAGGAAAGCCGCAAGGCGCAGCGGGAUGAGCGUGCGGCCCAUCAGGUAGUUGGUGAGGUAGUGGCUCACCAAGCCAAUGACGGGUAGGGGUUCUGAGAGGAAGGUCCCCCACACUGGAACUGACACACGGUCCAGACUCCUACGGGAGGCAGCAGUAAGGGAUAUUGGGCAAUGGGGGCAACCCUGAACCAGCAACGCCGCGUGGGUGACGAAGGCCUUCGGGUCGUAAAGCCCUUUUGCAGGUGACGAGGAAGGACGGUAGCCUGCGAAGAAGUGUCGGCUAACUACGUGCCAGCCGCCGCGGUAAUAC
rnacentral:rRNA from 1 species